rnacentral:rRNA from 1 species
CCUACGGGUGGCAGCAGUGAGGAAUAUUGGUCAAUGGGCGGAAGCCUGAACCAGCCAAGUCGCGUGAGGGAAUAAGGCCCUACGGGUCGUAAACCUCUUUUGCCGGGGAGCAAGGGCCGUUACGCGUCCCGGCCCGGAUAGUACCCGGAGAAAAAGCAUCGGCUAACCCCGUGCCAGCAGCCGCGGUAAUACGGAGAUGCGAGCGUUAUCCGGAUUUAUUGGGUUUAAAGGGUGCGUAGGCGGACUGUUAAGUCAGCGGUAAAAGGCCGGGGCGCAACCCCGGCGUGCCGUUGAAACUGGCGGUCUUGAGAUGUCGAAAGGUAUGCGGAAUGCGCAGUGUAGCGGUGAAAUGCUUAGAUAUGGCGCAGAACUCCGAUUGCGAAGGCAGCAUACCGGCGGCGAUCUGACGCUGAGGCACGAAAGCGUGGGUAUCGAACAGGAUUAGAUACCCGUGUAGUC